UAGGGAAUCUUCGGCAAUGGGGGGUAACCCUGACCGAGCAACGCCGCGUGAGUGAAGAAGGUUUUCGGAUCGUAAAGCUCUGUUGUAAGAGAAGAAUGUGUGUGAGAGUGGAAAGUUCACACAGUGACGGUAACUUACCAGAAAGGGACGGCUAACUACGUGCCAGCAGCCGCGGUAAUACGUAGGUCCCGAGCGUUGUCCGGAUUUAUUGGGCGUAAAGCGAGCGCAGGCGGUUUAAUAAGUCUGAAGUUAAAGGCAGUGGCUUAACCAUUGUUCGCUUUGGAAACUGUUAAACUUGAGUGCAGA
rnacentral:rRNA from 1 species